rnacentral:tRNA from 1 species
GGCCUAAUAGUUUAACGGGAUAAAACAGGAGCCUCCUAAGCUCUAGCUCCCAGUUCGAGUCUGGGUUGGGCCA